UCCAUCUCUCCCACUUCCGCAGAGCGCUGUAAAAGUGUCCCAAGGUGCCGGACGUCCAUUUCGGUGAGUGCUGUGGGCAAAAUGCCACAGACGCCGUUUCCCUUAAAACCACCGCCACGGUUGAUGUGUGUCGUUCGAGUUACGGGAACACCGGAGUCAACGACGCAGGACCGAUCAGGAGCAACCGUCGCAGGUUCUGCGCAUCCGUAACGUCCAGAGCAGCGUCUGUUAUCUGCAUCUUGGGCUGCAGCCCCUGGGACCGCACUGGAGCUACCCAGAGCAGCCACCUGGCAUGUCCAGGCAGUGCCACCUCUGGGUACAGCCCCCUCACCCCCUUUCAGGCCACAGCUCGCUCUCCCUGGACAUUGGGGUCAAGAACCAGCUUUCUGGGGGCUCCUUUCCAAGCCUUGGUGACUAGACGACUGCACGAGAACCCUGGGGACCGCGACACUGCGACACCUAUUUGUGAAGAGCCACCAUUCAGAGUGGACCCGGACCCCUGCUUGCUCUGCUGGCAUCAGGAAAAUACAGCCAGCCUCGUGGCAGUCCCCGACACAUACUGCAGGACAAGCAGACACCACCCACAUCUGAGAGGCGGGAGAGCGGCCCUUGGGGGCCUGGGCGCAGGUGGUGAUGAACAGAGAGGCUGGAGAGGCCAAGUGCAGUGGGCUGAAGAGCGUCAUCCGACUUAUUACCUAACACUAUUCUGGAGGUCCUGGCUAACUCCGUAAGGCGCUACCCGAAAUGGAAGCUGAUUAUUAGAAAGGACGAGGCAACAUGACCAUAACAUAAUAGACGAUCAGCUCCCUAGACUAUCCAAGAGGCAACUGAAAAAUGCAAAGGGGAAUAAGAGAUGAACAGAGUGACUCGACUGAAAAAAAAAAAGGUAUGCUUGCCAUACCUAUAACAAACAAUUAGAAGUUAUUUUAAAAAAAACCAUUUCACAAUGUGGGAAGGAAAGACAAGUAGAAUGUUUAAACUUACUGGCAAAUAGGCAUGAUCUGGACUGUGAGAAUUAAUAACGGAAUCCUCAACUAAAAUUGGGCUCUGGAGGGCCUGUGGAGAAGGCUGUCACCCUAACACUCCUCAUCACUUACCCGAAACAUGAAAAGACUGGACCUUGCAUCUCCAACAGGAAGGCGUACCAUGUAGCUCACUACCUCUACUUGAGAAAGGAAGAUUUUCUUCUUGCCCAGCAACAAGCCCAGCCAAUGGAAAACACCGCAGCUCAACCAAUGAGAAACCAUCACCCUGAACUCUUUCCUCCAAUGAACUUUCAAUUAGCUUUUGCCCAUGACCUUGCCCCAUCCUUUCUACAAAAGCCUUCCUUUCUGCAUAACUCAGCUAGAUGAGAUGCUGCCUGGUUUAUAAAUCAUUUAAUAAAACCCAUGAGAUCUUUCAAUUUA